AAAAGAACCAAAGCAGGAACAACAUUAGGCUACUCAGUUGCGCCCUAACAGUAUAACUUUGUAAUGAGUACUUUUUCUCAUUUUAUCGAACAAAGAAUAAAACCAAAUUAUAUUGUUCUAUUAUGUCCCGAAAGUGUAAAUUUGAAAAAUGAAUCGAUGUCAACCUUCACAAGAACCAAAACCGGAACAAUAUUAGACUACUCAGUUGCGCCCUAACAGUAUAACUUUGCAAGGAGUACUUUUUCUCAUUCAAUCGAACAAAGUGUAAAAGCUAAUUAUUUUAUUCUAUUAUGCCCCGAGAGUGUAAAUUUGGAACGAAUCGGUGUCAACGCUCACAAGAACCAAAACCGGAACAACAUUAGACUAUUCAGUUGCGCCCUGACAGUAUAACUUUGCAACGAGUACUUUUUCUCAAUCUAUCGAACAAAAAGUAAAAGCAAAUUAUAUUGUUCUAUUAUAUCCCAAGAGUGCAAAUUUGGAACGAAUCGAUGUCAACCUUCACAAGAACCAAAAUCGGAACCAUAUUAGACUACUCAGUCGCCCCUAAGAGUAUAACUUUGCAAGGAGUACUUUUUCUCAUUCAAUCGAGCAAAGUGUAAAAACUAAUUAUUUUAUUCUAUUAUGCCCCGAGAGUGUAAAUUUUGAACGAAUCGAUAUCAACGCUCACAAGAACCAAAACCGGAACAAAAUUAGAUUACUUAGUUGCGCCCUAAAAGUAUAAUUUUGCAACGAGUACUUUUUCUCAUUCUAUCGAACAAAGAGUUAAAAUCAAAUUAUAUUGUUCUAUUAUGCCCCGAGUGUUGUAAUUUCGAGCGAAUCGAUGUAAACGUUCACAAGAACCAAAAUCGGAACAGCAUUAGGCGACUCAGUUGCGCCAUAACAGUAUAACUUUGUAAAGAGUACUUUUUCUCAUUCUAUCAAACAAAGAGUAAAACCUAAUUAUAUUGUUCUAUUAUGUCCCGAGAGUGUAAAUUUGGAAUGAAUCGAUGUCAACCUUCACAAGAACCAAAACCGGAACAAUAUUAGAAUACUCAGUUGCGCCCUAACAGUAUAACUUUGCAAGGAGUACUUUUUCUCAUUCAAUCGAGCAAAGUGUAAAAGCUAAUUAUUUUAUUCUAUUAUGCCCCGAGAGUGUAAAUUUGGAACGAAUCGAUGUCAACGCUCACAAGAACCAAAACCGGAACAACAUUAGACUACUCAGUUGCGCCCUAACAGUAUAACUUUGCAACGAGUACUUUUUCUCAUUCUAUCGAACAAAGAGUAAAACCUAAUUAUAUUGUUCUAUUAUGUCCCAAGAGUGUAAAUUUUGAACGAAUCGAUGACAACCUUCAGAAGUACCAAAAUCGGAAAAACAUUAUAUUACUCAGUUGCGCCCUAAUAGUAUAACUUUGCAUGGA
rnacentral:lncRNA from 1 species